GUUAAACUCUACGGCUGUGUGUGUUUAGCUUAAUGACCAGGUUAAACUCUACGGCUGUGUGUGUUUAGCUUAAUGACCAGGUUAAACUCUACGGCUGUGUGUGUUUAGCUUAAUGACCAGGUUAAACUCUACGGCUGUGUGUGUUUAGCUUAAUGACCAGGUUAAACUCUACGGCUGUGUGUGUGUUUAGCUUAAUGACCAGGUUAAACUCUACGGCUGUGUGUGUGUUUAGCUUAAUGACCAGGUUAAACUCUACGGCUGUGUGUGUGUUUAGCUUAAUGACCAGGUUAAACUCUACGGCUGUGUGUGUGUUUAGCUUAAUGACCAGGUUAAACUCUACGGCUGUGUGUGUGUUUACCUUAAUGACCAGGUUAAACUCUACGGCUGUGUGUGUGUUUA